UUUUCAAGAAAAACAAAAAUAUUAAUGAAAACUAUCGAAAUUAUAAAUUAUAUCAAGACUUUUUAAAUUUAUCAGGACUCUACACUCUAAAAAUAUUAGAGUAGGGCAUAAGCUAAAUUUCUCUUAUGUUAGAACUUGUACACUUGUAUAUCUGUAAAUUUAAAUCAUAUAGUGCUCAUUAAGAACGUAUGAUCUAGCGACAGAUCGAAGACAAAUUUUAUAAUGGUAAGUAUCAGCUAUCGCCGUCUAUUGAAUUGUAUCUGAAAUACAUUUGAUAGAUAUAUGCUUCUUCUGUAUAAAUUAUGGUAAUAUUAUACCUUUUUUUAUUGUAAAGAUAUCAUUUUAUACUUUAUGUAUGUAGUAAUAUGUUCAAUCUUUGUAUUUUUGUUUUAUAUGGCCUAUUUCGAUAUUUUUAAUUUGUUAAAUUUUAAGUAUUCUAAGAGUAAAGAAACGUAAUUUUGACUUUUUAAAAUUCUUUUAUACUAAAAUAUGACAUUAACUGAAUUGAAAAAUUCUUUUGAAAAACGAUUGACAAUAGAGAAUCGCUAUUAUCAUAUACAAGAAGACAAAUCAAAUAAUUUUUUCAGAUUAGAUUUAAACAUUGCUAAUUCAAAAAAUAUACACCAAAGUUAUUGGAGACCAGGAAUAAUUAGAAACGCAUGCGACGAAAUACUCAGACGGAUGAAUAGAACUUUUUUUUCUAAGUCAUACAUUUGUCAUUCAUAAAAUUUAACAUACGUUUGAAGCAUGACAAUAUUUGACUAAUUUUUUAAUGGAUUAAUAAUUAGAGCAAUUUCAUUAAAGUUUAAUGUGCUUUCAUGAAAUGGACAUAUUGAAAAAAGAACAUUGAACAUUGAACGAUUUAUACAAGUGAAUUAAAAAAAGGAAAAAAAUGAUAAUCCAUGCUCCAGAUAUUUCAAAAAAUUUUAUUUUGAACACAGCAAUACAUGAUGCUACUAAUAUAAUACUCAAACCAUAUUUAACUUCAAGUGUUUCUUCAUCAUGCCUUCCAAAUAUUCGUAUUUAUGCAGAUGCUAAUGAAUCGGCAAAUUCAAAGCAAGACCAUACAAAAAAGUCUCAAUAUUUUUUAACACGAAUGGCAACAAUAGCAUGGGAUUUUUUAAAUAUUUCUGUUAUUUUUUAUCAUAAUGUAAUAGAACAAGACAAAGACAGCGACUUAAAAUAAUAUAUUACAUAAGUUUUUAUUGAAUGACUUUAAAUUAAGUUUUUAUUACGAUAAUAGCUAUGUUUAAGAGGUAAAACGAAUACAUAGUUUCCUAUAAACUUUUUUACAUCACUGUAUAACAUUUGCUAUUAUAAUUUAAGAUAAAGUCAAUUGGCUAGCUUUUAA